rnacentral:rRNA from 1 species
UACGUAGGGCGCGAGCGUUGUCCGGAUUUAUUGGGCGUAAAGAGCUCGUAGGCGGCUUGUCGCGUCGUUCGUGAAAACCUGUGGCUCAACUACAGGCUUGCGGUCGAUACGGGCAGGCUGGAGUUCGGUAGGGGAGACUGGAAUUCCUGGUGUAGCGGUGAAAUGCGUAGAUAUCUGGAGGAACACCGGUGGCGAAGGCGGCAUCCUGGACCGGCAUUGACGCUGAGGCGCGAAAGCCAGGGGAGCAAACGGG